UGGGGAAUUUUGGACAAUGGGGGCAACCCUGAUCCAGCAAUGCCGCGUGUGUGAAGAAGGCCUUCGGGUUGUAAAGCACUUUUGUCCGGAAAGAAAACGCCGUGGUUAAUACCCGUGGCGGAUGACGGUACCGGAAGAAUAAGCACCGGCUAACUACGUGCCAGCAGCCGCGGUAAUACGUAGGGUGCAAGCGUUAAUCGGAAUUACUGGGCGUAAAGCGUGCGCAGGCGGUCCGCUAAGACAGAUGUGAAAUCCCCGGGCUUAACCUGGGAACUGCAUUUGUGACUGGCGGGCUAGAGUAUGGCAGAGGGGGGUAGAAUUCCACGUGUAGCAGUGAAAUGCGUAGAGAUGUGGAGGAAUACCGAUGGCGAAGGCAGCCCCCUGGGCCAAUACUGACGCUCAUGCACGAAAGCGUGGGGGAGCAAACAGGAUUAGAUACCCUGGUAGUCCACGCCCUAAACGAUGUCAACUAGUUGUCGGGUCUUCAUUGACUUGGUAACGUGCUAACGCGUGAAGUUGACCGCCUGGGGAGUACGGUCGC
rnacentral:rRNA from 1 species